UACGAAGGGGCUAGCGUUGCUCGGAAUCACUGGGCGUAAAGGGUGCGUAGGCGGGUCUUUAAGUCAGGGGUGAAAUCCUGGAGCUCAACUCCAGAACUGCCUUCGAUACUGGCGAUCUUGAGUCCGGAAGAGGUGAGUGGAACUCCUAGUGUAGAGGUGGAAUUCGUAGAUAUUAGGAAGAACACCAGUGGCGAAGGCGGCUCACUGGUCCGGUACUGACGCUGAGGUGCGAAAGCGUGGGGAGCAAACAGGG
rnacentral:rRNA from 1 species